UUUUUCCUUAUACCUAACGGAUAACUUCGCAUACAUCUAUUUAGCUAGCGUAACUUAAACAACGAAAUGCACCUAUUUUUGCGUGAUCCUAGUGAAGGAAAACCUACAGCUUUAACAAGUUAAAGCUGUUUUUUUGAUUAUAGAUUAAAAAAAUAAGUGAACUGAAACAUCUUAGUAACUACCGUAUGAAAUCAAAUGAGAAAGCAUAAGUAAUGGUGAGUGAAAAUGCUUAUUAAGAUAUAGUAUUCUAAUAAAAAAUGGAUAACACUAUAUUUUGUAUUUUUGUGGUUGUUGUGCUGCAUCUUAAUAAAAGAAAAUUCAUUUUCUUAAACAUCUGUGAUGUAUGACGGAUAGCGAACUAGUAUCGUGAGAGAAAGUUGGAAAUUAGGUAUAUCAAUAUCGAUUGUUUUGUGAAAAUACAAUGUUCCUUUUGUAUUAUGAGUCAGUUAGUUAAUAUAAGUAGCAAGCUCAAAUUUAAAGCGUAAAUAACUACGAUAGUUACUUCUAUUACACACGAAGCCAAGUGAUCUAGCCAGAAUCAGGUUGAAAAUUUACUAAAAAUAAUUUGAAUGACUCGACCGGUGUUUGUUGCAAUAAACUCGGAUGAAUUCUGGUUUGGAAUGAAAGGUUAAUCAAACUUGGUAUAGCUUGUUUUCUGCGAAAUUUCUUUAAGGAAAGCACUCAAUUAACUAAAUGGUAAAUCACUAGUAAAACGAAGGUUGCUUAUCCGCAUUACUGAAUUUUACUAAAAUAAGAAUAUUUUGCUGAGUAGUUGGAGCAUUUAUGAAAAAAUAAAUGCUCAAAAGGGAAACAACCCACAAUGUUUUCUAAGGUUUUGAAUUAAGUUAUUAGCUAUAAGAUUGUUUUUUAAUAACGAUAACUCGGAUAGUAGGCUUAGAAACAGUCAUCAACUUUAAAAAACGUAACAGUUUGCGAGUUUAAUGUUAAAUUGCAUCGAAAAUUCAUAGAAUUUUAGACUUUACCGAAGAAACAUAAUUUAUCAAUUAAAUUAGUAGCAGAACGCUUUGUAUUUCUAAUCACAUUUUCGUGAGAAAUUUUGAUCCAUCUCAAAGUCGAUAAUGCUGAUAUGAGUAACACAAAAAGAUUAUAAUAUCUUUCACCGACAAUUAAAGUUUUAUCUCUUCGCUUGAUUUAGCGAACUGUUAAUCGAACUCUUAGUUUUUCGUGAGUGCGAACGAACAAUGAGCAUAAGAUAUUUUGAAAUUACAAAAGUUAUAAAAUGCGUGUUGUAUUAUUUGGGUUGUACCACUGCUUUCUUUAACUUUUCUAGAAAAGUUUCUUCUUUUAAUUCGUAAUAAUUCCGAAGCAGGUAAAUCAGUUUUAAUGAACUAAGGUGUUAAAUUUAAUAAAAGAUAUGGAACUCGGCAAAUUUGCACUGUAACUUAGGAACAAAGUGAGACGCUUUAUAAGAUGUAAAGUGUUCGUAGAAAAUAAAGGUUAGCAACUGUUUACUAAAAACACACGAUUAUGCGAAUUCAAUAGAAUAGGUAUAUGAUCCGAUUAUUGUCCAAUGCCAACAGGAUAAAAAAGGUAUUUUUAUGAUAACUUUAUAAUCUUUGGUAAAUGACCGUAUUAUUUCUGAGUAUGGUAAUGUAGCGAAAUUCCUUGGCUAAUAAAUAUAGUCCCGCAUGAAUAUAAUAAUGACUCACCUACUGUCAUAUCUUUUAGUUUUGUGAAAUUGAAAUUGGAGUGAAGAUUCUCCAAAAAGAAUAGAGGACGAAAAGACCCUUUUGACCUUUACUAUAGUCAACUAUUGUAAAAAUCAACUAUCUUGUUCAGUCUAUAUAAGAACCUAUCAUAUUUUUCUGCGAAAAGUUGAAAAAUUAGGUAACCUUGAGAAAUUAUUCUAGCUGCUGAUUUUUACUUAUCGUGAUGAGACAGUAGUUGAGUGGUAGUUUAGUUGGGAUGACUGCCUUUGAAACAGUAGCAAAGGUGUGCAUUGGUAAAUUCAAACAAAACAUUUUGUUUUUGAGCAUAAGAGUAUAUAUUUGCUAAACUGUUAGAUUGAUAAAUCACGCAGAGACGAAAGUCGGUUUUAACGAACCAAAUAUACCGAAUGAAAGGUUAUUUGAUCAUCAGAUAAAAGGUACCAUAGGGAUAACAGAAUAAUGAAAAUCAAGCGACCAUAGCGACGUUUUCGUUUGUCACCUCGAUGUCGACUCGCAAUAUCCCGCAGCUGAAGCUGGUUGCAAGGGUUUGACUGUUCGUCAAAUAAAAUUGUACGUGAGUUGGGUUUAAAACGACGUAAGUCAGUUUUGUUUCUAUCCUUAUUCUUUUGUAAAAAUAGGGCUUUGCUUUUAGUAUGAGAAGACCGAAAAGAGAAAGCCAAUGGUAUAAAAUUAUUUUUUCCUAAAGUAUUGUUUUGUUGCUACGCUUUUGAUGAUAAAAAUUGACAGAAUUUAUAUUUGAAAUCUCUCCUAUUUUUUACGCUCACUGAAGUAAUUCUUCUUUGAUUAUGGUAAGAGAUUAAUACCUUGAUCGGUAAACUGACAAUAGGCAUGUAAAUGUUUGUCAGAUUAUACGAAAAAUAUCAUUAACUAAUCUAUUUAAAGAUCUCAAUAAUUAGACUUAACCUUUAAACCUUUUAAAAAAUUGCUAAAUACAUUUCUUUAUACAAAAGACAAAUUUUUUUGUUUUGAUUCCAACAUUUCCCACACACCCUUGCUUUUAGUAACACUUG
rnacentral:rRNA from 1 species